GUGAAGCGCUAAUACGGGUCGCGGCCCCAGUGCGGAUCGGGCAGGCCCUAGCGGCGCACAGUGUCCCUCCCGCCGCUCCGUACCUCGGGCCGCGCGCUUGCCUACACACGCCUCAGCUGUUUCCGGUUGCCAGGUGUUUCCUUCAGAAAACUGACGCGUAUAAACAUAGAGGGGCGAAUCCCCCUUUGCUCCUGGCUCGAACCACACGGCUGUACGUGAAAAGGAAGGAGAUUUCUUUUUGGAACACGGAUUAGACAGAGCACAGGAAGCGGCUGGACGCCGUACAUGAUUUUCCACGUAAGCAGAUCGGGUGUGUGAGACGCCCAAGGCGGUGGGUCUCCCGGGGUCCCCCGCGUUACCUUCACCUUGUCACUUUGUCGUGUCAGUUCUUAACGCCCGGCGCGUAUGCCAUUUUGUAACGUUUCUACUUUGCCUACGUUACAGUGAACGUGCUGAACAGACUGUGUGUGUGAUGUAGCCGGUAGUCGCUCCGAGUCCGUGCGGCGGUCACAGUGACUCCGUCCUCGCGUUUCCGUCCGUUAAAUGGGAGGUGGGCGGAAGGGGAAGGAGAGCGCGAGACGGCGGAGCGGAGCGGCUCUUCCCCAGUUGAGCGCCUACCGGACUCAGCGGCGCGCGGGGUGGCGCCGGCGGGGAGCUCGCGCCGGUGAACAGGGGAGAGGAGCGCGAGGACACGAGUAACUCCCACAACAGCAGGAGACAUUAAGUUUCGCAGAGAUCCGCCGCCCAGAGACUGUGACGAAGUUUCAUGUGAAAGAAAGAGCGAUUUGCGGAGCUGCGCCUUCGCUUCGGGAUUCUAGGACGCAGUGAGUGUUUCAGGUAGCGAAUAAUUUGAAUUUCUUCGUCAUUUUUGCUUUGGAAACGGAUGUUAACUGUACGAAGGCGCCGCAAGUUCCAGAAAACCGGGAUUUCCACACAUAAACUCGUGUGUUAAAAAAAGGACAAGAACAAGUUUUUUUGUUUCCAGACUCAUGAAAUCUGAUUUUCCUCGCAGGAUUGGGAUCUAAAAACAGGAAGAUAAACGCCUCCAAGGAAGGAGUCCAAGGAGCCCGAAGUCUGCUUCUUCAAGUUCUUCUUUCCCAAUCCAGUUACUUCGAUUCUUUUCCCUGUUCCUAAGUGGACUGACAUGUUGCCACAUGUUGGCUUUUUGAUUCAUAGUGACACACGUUAAAAGUGAGGAUUUGUGUGUCACUCGUUUCACUUUCUGUAACCUGGUUAUUGCAGUGCUGUGGUUCCAGCCUCUCUCUUCCUGCAAGUUUUCCAAAUGAACACAUCCAUUAAUAUCCGAACCGCCUUUCACCAGGUUUCUUCCUCCCGGUAACACUCCUCCAUAGAUGUUUUUGCGGUUUUUCAACGCUUCGCUCCUUAGAUGUCGCUUAUCCUUGGUACUUUUGAGAUCUGCGGAAACAUACUCCUGGAAAACGGUGUGCCAAAAAUAUGUUGCCAUUCCUUGUGCGCUUCUGAAAUAUUGGAAUUGUCUAUUCUGGGCAUUUUUCUAAUUUAUGUUUUGUAGAAUCAUUACUUCUUGAAAGUUGGGGAGGCACAAAACACAUUUUUUUCUGAAUUUCUAUGAAAUAACACUUUGAGAUUACAAUUAGAAAGAGAGCCAACAAAUAAGUCUCGUCUUAUGGCGGCUGCCGUGGGCCGACUCUGGGGCUGGGUUCGCCCAGCCCUGUCUUAUCGUCCUUGGGGAGGCAAGACCGAGAAGGAUGAGGAACAGAUGGGAUCUGGCUGGACUGGCAUGACCACCUGGUUUUGGCCAGGUGGGAAAAAACAAAGUGACCAAGAGGAGUUUACCAAACAGCAGUGGGAGAUGAGUGAAAGAGCCCAGCCCAUGGAAGUGGAAGAGUUUCGGGCUGGGAGGUUGGAGAUGGAGACUCCUGUGCAGACCGCUCCUCGGUGGUGGAGGAGGAUGUUGCCAUCAUCUUACUUUUCCUGGCCAAGAAGGGCUGAACACGGAGCUGUAAAGGCUCAAAGGUGUGUAGGCCAAAAGGAGAAGGAAUGGGACUGUGAUCAAGAUGGAGGCGAGUCAGACUAUGGAACCCCUCCUCCGUCUCCCACCCCUCGUUUGCACUAUGCUUCCCCGUUCCGUUUUUUCAUGCAUUCCUGGACGGGUGAGGUCCUGCCGGAGCACUACGAGAUCUGCUUCAACUUCCUGCGACACCUUUUCGACCUAUUCGUUGUUGGCUUCCUGUGGACAGUCUCCCCUCCGGUCAGGGUGGUGCUGGACAUCCUGGGGGUCCAGGGUACACUGAAACUGUGGAUUCACGGGAUGGCCAUGUUUUUUGUAUCCACAGUGGGGAUGGCAGGCCUCCUGUGGCUGAUCCAGGAAUACCUCCCGCAGUUUGCUCUAGUGUACGGCAUCCUGCAGGUACUUGUGAUCUCCGUCAGUUUACACCAAAGCGUGGUGUUGGGGGAGGCAGGUGAGGCCAAGAGAGAGGAGGAAGCGGAGAAGAGGCAGGAACAGGAGAUGCAGGGAGAGACUGACCUACCGAAGGAGGGCCAUGACAAAGGAAAGACUGUGCAGUGAUAAAAUACUGCGAUAUGUUGUGAUACAAGACUAAACACUUUUUGGCAGAUGGUUGAGAUAAGUAGUUGAGGUCCCAGUGGUUUAUUCAGCUGAACUGAAGACCUACCAUCCUCUGAGACAAUAAGGAGUAAAUAGUCAAGUGAGCUUUUGGAGUAAAGCACACAGGUUAUGCUUUUGUAUUUAUUCCUAGGAUAUGGACAAAUCCUAGCUUGUUUUACUACAAUAAAACCUUUCAGUAGCAUGGAAGAACUGUAACACUGUAAAAAUUGUGUAGCUGUUGUGGUAAGUGCAGAAGGACUCGAUUCCUGACAUAUCAGCACUCCCAACACGACUUUCCCUCACUGCCACAGAAGGCUUUGACCCCAUGCAGGGCUGGGGGUCAAAGUGAAGGAUGAUCACUACAAAUUUUGCUAAUCUUAUUGCACAAAACACAUACCUAAUAAACCCAUGUGGAAAUAACUCUGUGCUCUAUCCAUGCCAAGCCUUUCCAGUUUCUCUACAGAUUUUCCCUUGAAAACUUGUCGGUGCAAUUUUCUGGAUUUUCUGAAAAUGCCUUGUUUUCCAUGAGAAUUUUUCAUGCAUCGCAGUGUCAAUGUAGACAUCUUGGAGCCAAAAGGUUUCGCCUGCGGUCAGACGACACGAAAGCAUGCAAGUCAGGUGAAUUCAGCUGACUAUGCCUAAAACCUUGCUUAUGGUUGAGCUCGAGGGUGUUGAACAUGUUUUAAAUCACCUCUUAGCAUCACAGUUAAAACGGCACAUUCUUCAUAUUAAUUGCAGUGCUAAAGAUGAAUCUUAACCUAGUUACUGAAAAGCAAAUUGUGGCCAUUUUUAAUAGUUGAUAUCAUAAUAUUUCCAUUUCUUCUGGAUAUCUAUAUGAGAAAAUAAAUUUUAUGUGUCUUUUAAGAAAGUGUGGUUAGGUUCAAAGUUAACAGCUGCGGUCAACAGAUGUGUGAAUUGAAGUUUCUACCAUGUUUAGCAUUUAAUAGAUUGCAAUAUAGUAUCUAUUUGUUCUUUCUCACUUUAUGUGCAGAAGAACCCUUUUGUAUUCCUUAACUCAAAAACUGUUGAAUAUUCCAUUAGUUUCAUUUGUGCUCGUUUGAGAACCACUUUCAUUUUAGGAUGAACAUGGUUUGGUUGACUUUUCACAUGUUGUGAUAUUAUUCCCAGUUUUGUUUGAGCACCUGUGUGAAAUUGAACAGGAUUCACAUGUUCACAUUGUAUGUAUUUGUAUGUUUGCUAUGGUGGGAGUUUGUUGCAUGUCUAGAUCCCCGUUGUCAAAGUAUGUGGAAAUUUAUGCUGUCCUGUUGGCUGAGGGACAUAAAAUGUUUUCCUCUAAUACACCAUAAAAUAUAUUAUAUGAAAAGCUGGACUGACUGUCAAGAUGUAUCAUUUUUGUGAGA